rnacentral:lncRNA from 1 species
GGGUUAUUUAAUAGUUAUUACAUCUCUCAUGGUACUGUCUCCUAGCAACCAGCUAUAUUGUGCUGCUACUUAGUUCUGCUUAUUAUGGCUUGAUUCUGGUACUCCACUACUGUCAACAUUCCUCUUGGCUUCUGCUGCUGCUGCCAUCUGCUGGACAUGACUUUUAUUGCUCCUCACCCUCAAGUGUUACCUACUUUUUUGUGAAACUGUCAGCAUGGUGACCAAGCAUUUUCAGCUCUUUUGUCUUCAGAGGACAGCUAGUCUAAGCUAAUCUAUGCCUGCACAACAGUCAAGCAACCUACCCCCUCUGUUGGUCUCUUCAGGGACUGUACAGUCCUUAUGACAUGCAGUAGCACCUUAGGGGCUGCUACUAAGGAGAAAGAACUCAGAAAGUCAAACAACCUUCCCUUCUGGUUGGUUCCUCUUUAUCUCGAGAGUUCCAGAGAGGUGACUCUCUCUUUCGCGUCAGAGACAUGACUGGUGGCAGUGUGCUGGGCAUCUUGGCGUCUUGGCAUGGGUCAGUAAAUGGGGAAGGAUAGCAGGAAAGGAGAAAAUAUGGACCUCAACAUUUUUUUAAAAGAAUGUUAAAAAUAAAUAAAUAAUACAUUUUUAAUUUUAAUUUUUU